rnacentral:rRNA from 1 species
AUUGAACGCUGGCGGCAUGCUUUACACAUGCAAGUCGAACGGUAACAGGCCUUCGGGCGCUGACGAGUGGCGAACGGGUGAGUAAUGCAUCGGAACGUGCCCAGUCGUGGGGGAUAACUAUCCGAAAGGAUAGCUAAUACCGCAUACGAUCUGCGGAUGAAAGCGGGGGACCUUCGGGCCUCGCGCGAUUGGAGCGGCCGAUGUCAGAUUAGGUAGUUGGUGGGGUAAAGGCUCACCAAGCCAACGAUCUGUAGCUGGUCUGAGAGGACGACCAGCCACACUGGGACUGAGACACGGACCAGACUCCUACGGGAGGCAGCAGUGGGGAAUUUUGGACAAUGGGCGCAAGCCUGAUCCAGCAGUGCCGCGUGCAGGAAGAAGGCCUUCGGGUUGUAAACUGCUUUUGUACGGAACGAAACGGCUCUGGUUAAUACCCGGGGCUAAUGACGGUACCGUAAGAAUAAGCACCGGCUAACUACGUGCCAGCCGCCGCAGUAACAC